rnacentral:rRNA from 1 species
GACGAACGCUUGCGGCGUGCUUAACACAUGCAAGUCGAACGGAAAGGCCCUGCUUUUGUGGGGUGCUCGAGUGGCGAACGGGUGAGUAACACGUGAGUAACCUGCCCUUGACUUUGGGAUAACUUCAGGAAACUGGGGCUAAUACCGGAUAGGAGCUCCUGCUGCAUGGUGGGGGUUGGAAAGUUUCGGCGGUUGGGGAUGGACUCGCGGCUUAUCAGCUUGUUGGUGGGGUAGUGGCUUACCAAGGCUUUGACGGGUAGCCGGCCUGAGAGGGUGACCGGCCACAUUGGGACUGAGAUACGGCCCAGACUCCUACGGGAGGCAGCAGUGGGGAAUAUUGCACAAUGGGCGGAAGCCUGAUGCAGCAACGCCGCGUGCGGGAUGACGGCCUUCGGGUUGUAAACCGCUUUCGCCUGUGACGAAGCGUGAGUGACGGUAAUGGGUAAAGAAGCACCGGCUAACUACGUGCCAGCAGCCGCGGUGAUACGUAGGGUGCGAGCGUUGUCCGGAUUUAUUGGGCGUAAAGGGCUCGUAGGUGGUUGAUCGCGUCGGAAGUGUAAUCUUGGGGCUUAACCCUGAGCGUGCUUUCGAUACGGGUUGACUUGAGGAAGGUAGGGGAGAAUGGAAUUCCCUGGUGGAGCGGUGGAAUGCGCAGAUAUCAGGAGGAACACCAGUGGCGAAGGCGGUUCUCUGGGCCUUUCCUGACGCUGAGGAGCGAAAGCGUGGGGAGCGAACAGGCUUAGAUACCCUGGUAGUCCACGCUGUAAACGGUGGGUACUAGGUGUGGGGUCCAUUCCACGGGUUCCGUGCCGUAGCUAACGCUUUAAGUACCCCGCCUGGGGAGUACGGCCGCAAGGCUAAAACUCAAAGGAAUUGACGGGGCCCCGCACAAGCGGCGGAGCAUGCGGAUUAAUUCGAUGCAACGCGUAGAACCUUACCUGGGUUUGACAUGGAUCGGGAGUGCUCAGAGAUGGGUGUGCCUCUUUUGGGGUCGGUUCACAGGUGGUGCAUGCCUGUCGUCAGCUCGUGUCGUGAGAUGUUGGGUUAAGUCCCGCAACGAGCGCAACCCUUGUUCACUGUUGCCAGCACGUUAUGGUGGGGACUCAGUGGAGACCGCCGGGGUCAACUCGGAGGAAGGUGGGGAUGACGUCAAGUCCUCAUGCCCCUUAUGUCCAGGGCUUCACGCAUGCUACAAUGGCUGGUACAGAGAGUGGCGAGCCUGUGAGGGUGAGCGAAUCUCGGAAAGCCGGUCUCAGUUCGGAUUGGGGUCUGCAACUCGACCUCAUGAAGUCGGAGUCGCUAGUAAUCGCAGAUCAGCAACGCUGCGGUGAAUACGUUCCCGGG